GCAGGGCACGGUGGCUUGUGCCUAUAGUCCCAGCUAUACAGGAGGCUGAGGUGGGAGGAUUGCUUGAGCCCAGGACCUCUGGGCUGUAGUGCAUUAUGCCAAUUGGGUGUCUGCACUAAAUUCGGCAUCAAUAUGAUGACCUCCCAGGAGCAGGGGACCACCAGGUUGCCCAAGGAGGGAACUGGCCCAGGUCAGAAAUGGAGCAGGUCAAAACUCCCGUGCUGAUCAACAGUGGGAUCGUGCCUGUGAACAGCCACUGCACUCCAGCUUGGGCAACAUGGCGAGAACUCAUCUCU
rnacentral:SRP_RNA from 1 species